GACGAAGGGGGCUAGCGUUGUUUGGAAUUACUGGGCGUAAAGCGCGUGUAGGCGGUUGCCCAAGUCGGGUGUGAAAGCCUUGAGCUCAACUCAAGAAAUGCACUCGGUACUGGGUGACUAGAGGACCGGAGAGGAUAGUGGAAUUCCCAGUGUAGUGGUGAAAUACGUAGAGAUUGGGAAGAACACCAGUGGCGAAGGCGGCUAUCUGGACGGUUUCUGACGCUAAGACGCGAAAGCGUGGGGAGCAAACAGG
rnacentral:rRNA from 1 species